rnacentral:rRNA from 1 species
CGUGACGUUCGGAUUAUUGGGUUUAAGGGUGCGUAGGCGGGCAGUCAAGUCAGCGGUGAAAUCUCAGUGCUUAACACUGAAACUGCCGUUGAAACUGGCAGUCUUGAGUGUGAACGAGGUAAGCGGAAUUCGUGGUGUAGCGGUGAAAUGCAUAGAUAUCACGAAGAACACCGAUAGCGCAGGCAGCUUACCAGGCCACCACUGACGCUGAAGCACGAAAGUGUGGGAAUCAAACAGGAUUAGAUACCCUGGUAGUCCACACAGUAAACGAUGAAUACUAACUGUUUGCGAUAUACAGUAAGCGGUAAAGCGAAAGCGUUAAGUAUUCCACCUGGGGAGUACGCCGGCAACGGUGAAACUCAAAGGAAUUGACGGGGGCCCGCACAAGCGGAGGAACAUGUGGUUUAAUUCGAUGAUACGCGAGGAACCUUACCCGGGCUCGAACGGCUAUUGAGUAUAUGUGAAAGCAUAUAGACCGCAAGGACAAUAGUCGAGGUGCUGCAUGGUUGUCGUCAGCUCGUGCCGUGAGGUGUCGGCUUAAGUGCCAUAACGAGCGCAACCCUUAUCGAUAGUUACCAGCGGGUCAAGCCGGGGACUCUAUAGAGACUGCCGCCGUAAGGUGCGAGGAAGGUGGGGAUGACGUCAAAUCAGCACGGCCCUUACGUCCGGGGCGACACACGUGUUACAAUGGGGGCUACAAAGGGGUGCUACACAGCAAUGUGAUGCAAAUCUCAAAAAACCCUCCCAGUUCGGAUUGGAGUCUGCAACCCGACUCCAUGAAGCUGGAUUCGCUAGUAAUCGCGCAUCAGCCAUG